AAUAAAAAUUUAAAAGUCUUUGGAAAUUUAUAUAUAUGUGUGUGUGUGUGUCUUUUAGAUUUACUAUUCACUGUGUAUGUCUGCGUGAUGGCACAGAGUGUGUGCCACCACACAUGUGUCACACUGCACGUGUGUGGAAGUCACCUCCUUGCACCAGUGACUUCCUGGGAUCAGGUUCAGUUUCCCAGGCUUGAAUGUAAGUCCUUCACCCCUGAGCAGUCUGGGAACUGAACCCAGGUCCUCAGCAAGGGCAGCACAGGCCAUCUCUUAGACCCCACCCUUCACGGUGUUCCACGUAGCCCAGUCUGCUGAACCUGGCCUUGAACUCCUGAUCAUUCUGCCUAUAUCUCCCAGGUGCUGAGUUACAGGUAUGUGCUCACCAAGCCUAGCUCAAAAUAAAUGUCCAAAUGAUAAGGAAAGGAGCUGAGAUAUAUGUGUGUACACUACAUGUAUGUUAUAUUUACCUGCAUAUAAUAUAUAUAUAUUGUGUGUAUAUAUAAUGUAUAUAUAUUAUAUGCAUAUAUUUGCUGGUGGUGGUGGUUGGUUGGUUUGGAUUUUUUGAAACGGGGUUUCUCUGUGGCCUGGUUGUCCUGGAACUCACUUUAUUGACCAAGCUGGCCUUGAACUCAGAGCUCUACCUGCCUUUUAACACCCCCACCCCUUCUGCCACCUGCCCCGAGUGCUGAGUUUAAAGGAGUGUUCCACCAUGCCCGACAGUGCUGUUAUAUUUUAACAGGAGGCAUUUUUCUUUUUUUAGGCAAUGAAAUGAAUGAUACAUUUUUCAAGUAACCCAGUCUGGCUCCAGCCUGGGCCUGCAGGAGGCAUUGUGACUAAUUUGCCAGGACCGGGACUAGCAGAAACUGUCGGCUGUGAACCUCUCUGUCCUGUAGGUGGCGGUAGAGAAACCGUACCAAGCCUCAAGCUCAGCUCCAGCUGGAGGGAGAGCUCUGGUGGCUAGCCCAGGGGGCUGUCCUAGGUGCAAAGAGAGCUCAGGAAAAGAAGUCAGGGUCCCCACCCAUCCUAGACCAGAUUCUAGGCCUCAGUUUCCCCUACAGUGCUCAGAGUGCUUAGAGACUCCAAAGGUUCUAGACCUGCUCAGCCCAGGAAGCAUCUGCGCCCCUGACGACCAUGUUCCUGUCCGAUCUUGCCACUCACCCCUCCCUCCCCUGGGUGGUAAUGUUCUCCUUACCCCCUCGAAGGGGAAACUGAGGCUCCAAAAGAUUAAAUGACCUUCCAAAGUGAAGCACGGUGUGCGGUCAGAGCAAGAAAAAAAAGCUCACUGCCUUCUCACAGGGGAUCCACAGAGCAGGCAGGGUUCUCUCCCGAAGAAGCGCUUGCUGAGGCUGGAGGCGGCUCACUGGGAAAGGCGCUUGACACAAAGUCUGACACUCUGAGCCCCAGGGUCUACAUGGUGGAAGAAGAUGGAUGGUGAACCAACUCCUGAAAGCCAACCUGUAGAAUGCUUACACACACACACACACACACACACACACACACACACACCAACGUAAAAAAUGAAAAUCAUUGAUUUAUUGGAGAGGAAAUAGAAAAAAUAAACCAAUAAAAUGGGGGGGGGCGUUUAAAGCCAUUUAUCAAUGGCUUUAAACAGAAUAGGUAAAUCAGCAGAAAAAUACUUGUUAAAUCUAUCUCUGACGAAAGAUUCAGAUCUCAAAGAUGCAACUAAUGCUUCAGCUCAGCAAAACAGCUUAGUUUGACAGAUUGGCAAAAUGGGUCUUGAGCGGUUAAGAGCACUUGUUGCUCUUGGAGAGGACCAGGUUUGAUUUCCAGCCCCCACGUCAGCUCACAAGCACCUGUAGAUGGUUCAGUUCCAGGGAAUCUGUUUUGACCUCUUUGGCAGUCAGACACGCAUGUAGUAUUGUAUUAAUCAGGGUUCUCUAGAGUCACAGAACUUAUAGUCUUUAUAUAGUAAGGGAAUUUAUUGAUGACUUACACUCUGCAGUCCAACUCCCAACAAUGGUUCAGUAGUAGCUGUGAAUGGAAGUCCAAGGAUCUAGCAGUUGCUCAGUCCCACACGGCAAGCAGGUGAAUGAUACUCCCUUCUUCCAAUGUCCUUACAUGGUCUCCAGCAGAAGGUGUAGCCUAGAGUAAAGGUGUGGUGGCACCACACUUUUAAUCCCAGAUGACCUUGAACUCAGAGAUCUCCCUGUCUUAAUCUUCUGGAAUCCAUAGCUACUAUGCCUCAAGAUCUCCAUACCAAGAUCUAGAUCAGACACUUCUAUCUCCCAGCCUCCAGAUUAGGGUCACUGGUAAGCCUUCCAAUUCUGGAUUGUAGUUCAUUCCAAAUAUAGUCAAGUUGACAACCAGGAAUAGCCACUACAGGUGUGCAGGAUCACACAGGCAAAACACUCAUGCACAUAAAAUAAUCUAAAACCAAAAACUGCUUGUUCUUCAAGGGCCAAAGUCAGGCACAUGCCUGUUGAAGAGCCACCAGUGCUUCUAGUCACUGAGCCAUCUCUGAGACAGAAUCUCAUUCAGGAACCUAAGCUGGUCUUGAACCCAUGACUGUCCUCUUCCCUAGUCUCAGAAGUGCUGGAGUUGCAGAGGUGGCACCCUGCCCAGCUAGUCUGUUCUUGUUUAUUGCUGAAUAGUGUUCCACUAGGACACACCCUGUGGAAUGAACAUCAGCAAGGGCUCUUGGGAGAUGAAAACAGGAGAAAGUCAGCAUGGCCUACAUAGCCCUUCUAAGCCCACCAGAACUACAAGAUCUUAUCUAAUAUAAAUAUAUAAUAUGUGAUUAUAUAUAAUUAUUUAUAUAUGUACAUUUAUAUACACAUGUAUAUAAAUAAUUAUACAUAGAUUAUAUAAUUGUGGUGGUUUAAAUAUGCUUGGCCUAUGGGAAGUGGCACUAUUAGGAGGAGUGGCCUUGUUGGAGUGGGUGUGGCCUUGUUGGAGGAAGUUCAUCAUUGUGGGGGUGGGCUUUGAGAUCCUAUGCUCAAGCUCCACCCAGUGUGGAAGAGAGUCUCCUUCUGCUGCCUUCUGAUCAAGAUGUAGAAUUCUUGGCUCUUCCAGCACCAUGCCUGACUGGAUGCUGCCAUGCUCCCACCUUGAUGAUAAUGGGCUGAACCUCUGAACCUGUAAGCCAGCCCCAAUGAAAUGUUUGCCUUUAUAAGAGUUGCUUUGGCCAUGGUGUUUCUUCACAGCAAUAAAAUUCUAAGACAACAAUAUAUAUUAUUAUAAUGUAAUUAUUAUAAUAUAUUAUAUAACACACACACACAUUCCCAGCACCUAAAUGGCAGUGACAACUGUUGGUGAAUCCAGUUCCAGGGGAUCUGACAGCUUCUUCCAGCCUCUAUAGGCACCAGGCACUCAUGUGGUGAAUAGACAUACACCACAUAUAGGAUCUCUGUGAGUUCAAAGCCAGCUUGGUCAGCAUAGUGAGUUCCAUGACAGCUAGAGCUACACAGUGAUACACACACACACACACACACACACACACACACAUAUAUACGCACACACACAUAUAUAUAUACACACACACAUAUACACACACAAACACACAUAUUCAUACACCCACGUGUAUAUGCUAACAUAUAUAUAACUAAUAUAUAUAUAUAACUAAUAUAUAUUAAUAUAUACAUUAUAUAGGUAUAUAAUACAGAUCCUAUUAAUAUAUAAUAUGUAUACAUAAUGUUAUGUGUACAUUAAUAUUUAUAUAUAUUAGAUAUAAACCAACAAAGAUCACCUUCCUGUGUCGGUUAUUUUCCUGUUGCUAUGACAAAGCAUCCUAGCCAAAGCUUCUUUUUUUCUUUUUCUUUUUGGUUUUUCGAGACAGGGUUUCUCUGUGUAGCCCCGGCUGUCCUGGAACUCACUCUGUAGACCAGGCUGGCCUCGUCCAAAGCUUCUUAAGGAAAGCUGAUCAUUAUAAGCACUGAGAGGGUGUGAAUCACGGGCCAGGUGUGGGACUUUAGUCCCAGCAUCCUGGAGGCAGAGGCAGGCUGAUCUCUGAGUUCAAGGCCAGCUUGGUCUAUGGGUAGCCAGGGUUAUACAGAGAAAAGCGAUCUCAGAAAAACACCCAAAACCAAGAGCAUGAAUUGCCUGGAACACUCUGUCUUGCUGCAGGAAGGGUAGUGGACUGACUACUUUACAAGACAAUUAACUACACUUAACGACACCAUGAAACCCACACCUAGGCACUGACCC
rnacentral:lncRNA from 1 species